AAAAGCUGAGAUUCUCGACGGGGAAGAAAAAGAGGGGCCGGUGCUUGUGCCCGGUAUCGUCCCUGUUUCGCCCCUUUUGCUGCAUACGUUGUCGGGAAUUUGAUCUGCUUCGAGUUUGGUUGAGGAUCCGUGGCGAGGUACAAGAGAAGGCUUACUGUAAUAGUGGAGGAAACGAGAUGACAAAAGGGCAGCUUGAACAGGAAUUUCAUAAUCGGUACAAGGAAAAAAGUAGACAAAGCCGGAAAAUACAAGGCAGAACUACAAAUGUGGGUGUAGGAUGAAGCUGAAGUAUCUAGUCUCAUAUCCAAGCUUGGGGAAUGAGGAACAUUUGCCCAGAUGAAAUGAUAAAUAGAAUUGCACAAGCAUCUCGUACAGAGGGAGAGGAGUCACAUACUCUAUCCAUUGAUGCGAUUAAUGACAUUUAUUAUGAUGUCGUCGGUGGAAGGAAGAAGACCUCUCUCUACGGCCUUGGCUCCCAAGACAAACUUGUUUUUGAUCGUAUGAGGCCUCCUCCUUGAUCAAGAGUUGUCCUAGGUCCUCGUCAUCUAGUGAGGUACAAGAGUUGCAACAAGAAAAUCGAGAAUUGAGGGAUCAGGUUGUGACAUUAGAGUAGUCGAUGAUUGCUCGAGACGCUAGAGCUGAAGAGAAGUAUCACUAUAUGUGUGCCGUGGCAGCUUAGUUCACUCCAACGUAGGAGCAACAGCCGCAUCGUUUUGAGUCCCAGGAUAUCGAGAAUCCCAAUGAUACCCUGAUGAGUAGCUCAUUUUAAGUGGAUGAUAUUUCUAUCACCAUCUGCAGAUAUAUCCAAAAUUUUUGAACUAAGGAGAAGAAAUGGUAUAUUGAAAAGGUGGUUGAUUCCUAAAUGAGUUUGCCAUGGCUGCCUGUAAUUGAUGGUAUCACUAUGGUCAAAAUCCCACUUUUCCUCUUAGAAAAAGAAAAGUGAAAAAUUAAGCACAGUUUGUGGAAAAUGGAAACACCAAUGCCUUGUUUGAAACAGUAGUGUUGCAAUCAGUUACAGUAAGCUUACAGAGAAAGAAAACUCCACAGACAGUCAUCAUGGACUCUCUUCAAAGGUCUGAGGCAAGAAAAUGAGAACAGACGAUGUUUAUGACAUGCUUUGGUUUGCCUCAUCUUAGAUGGUCUAUUAUUUCACAAAAGAGGAAGAAUUGAAGGUAUCUACAGAGUGUGGAGUGAUGUUGAAAUGGAUUUAUCAGGUAUGACGUAAUCAGUUUUUAUGUUGUGCUGGGCGAACACAAGACCAAGCCAGAUUUAUUAUGACAUAACUCAAUUUUCUAGAUAGUAUGGUUGGCCUGAUUCCCGCUUUAUUAGAGCAAAAGGUGAUAUCGUUCAUUUCAAGCAGUUUAAUAUCAUCGGUCUCAUCGCAAGAUACAGACAGUUAAAUUAUGUGAGACAUUUUAUGCUAACACAACGGUCAUUUGAAUACUAUAUCCUUAAGUACUCAUGAUUCUUAGUUAAAAUAAACGUCACUUUCUUUAUUAUACUGUCGAAUAAGAGUAUAAUUAAUACAUUUAUUCAGACAACACCCCCUAGAAAUUACACUAUCAGAAACGUGAGACGAACAUUGCUCACAUUGAAAAAACACCUCACAGUACACAGGAACAAACUUUCUUUGCCAGACCAGUGGAUCAUAAGAUGGCUUUGGAUCCAAUUUGUUCAGAUUAUGUCUCUUAAGUGGCCUUUGCCUGGUCAUUUGCACGAUGCAAAAGCCUAAAAUCUCUUUUAAGCAGUGCAAUAAACCAAGCAAAUCUUCCACUAAUACGAAAAGAACACCAUGUAGCAGUGUUGUGUUGGGAUCUCAUACCACAUCACCAUUAAUUUAUAUUCUCAA